rnacentral:rRNA from 1 species
UACAGAGGCCUCGAGCGUUAGGCGGAAUCACUGGGCUUAAAGCGUGUGUAGGUGGAUGCCUAAGUACCUUGUGAAAUCCCACGGCUUAACCGUGGAAUUGCUUGGUAUACUGGGUGUCUUGAGCCACUCAGGGGCUACCGGAACAAACGGUGGAGCGGUGAAAUGCGUAGAUAUCGUUUGGAACGCCAAUGGUGAAAACAGGUAGCUGGGGGUGUGCUGACACUGAGACACGAAAGCCAGGGGAGCAAACGGG